UGCGUAGGCGGAUUAUUAAGUCAGUGGUGAAAGUUUACGGCUCAACCGUACAAGUGCCAUUGAUACUGGUAGUCUUGAGUACAGUAGAGGUAGGCGGAAUUUAUGGUGUAGCGGUGAAAUGCAUAGAUACCAUAAAGAACACCGAUAGCGAAGGCAGCUUACUAUACUGAGACUGACGCUGAGGCACGAAAGCGUGGGGAGCGAACAGGAUUAGAUACCCUGGUAGUCC
rnacentral:rRNA from 1 species